rnacentral:rRNA from 1 species
GAUGAACGCUGGCGGCGUGCCUAAUACAUGCAAGUCGAGCGAACAGACGAGGAGCUUGCUCCUCUGACGUUAGCGGCGGACGGGUGAGUAACACGUGGAUAACCUACCUAUAAGACUGGGAUAACUUCGGGAAACCGGAGCUAAUACCGGAUAAUAUAUUGAACCGCAUGGUUCAAUAGUGAAAGACGGUUUUGCUGUCACUUAUAGAUGGAUCCGCGCCGCAUUAGCUAGUUGGUAAGGUAACGGCUUACCAAGGCGACGAUGCGUAGCCGACCUGAGAGGGUGAUCGGCCACACUGGAAAUGAGAAACGGUCCAGACUCCUACGGGAGGCAGCAGUAGGGAAUCUUCCGCAAUGGGCGAAAGCCUGACGGAGCAACGCCGCGUGAGUGAUGAAGGUCUUCGGAUCGUAAAACUCUGUUAUUAGGGAAGAACAAAUGUGUAAGUAACUAUGCACGUCUUGACGGUACCUAAUCAGAAAGCCACGGCUAACUACGUG